CCCUGUAACUUCGGGAGAAAGGGAGCCACGGCGACGUGGCCGCAGAGAAAUGGCCCAGGCGACCGUUUAACAAAAACACAAGGCUAUGCGAAACCGCAAGGUUAGGUAUAUGGCCUGACACCUGCCCGGUGCCGGAAGGUUAAGGGGGGACGUCAUCCGAAAGGAGAAGCGUUGAACCGAAGCCCCGGUAAACGGCGGCCGUAACUAUAACGGUCCUAAGGUAGCGAAAUUCCUUGUCGGGUAAGUUCCGACCUGCACGAAUGGCGUAACGACUUCUCCACUGUCUCCAACGUAGACUCAGUGAAAUUGAACUCUGAGUGAAAAUGCUCAGUACCCGCAGUUAGACGGAAAGACCCCGUGCACCUUUACUACAGCUUCGUAGUGGUAUUAUGAAUGGGAUGUGUAGGAUAGUCAGUAGACAAUGAAGUUCAUGCGCCAGCAUGGAUGGAGUCGCAAAGUGAAAUACUGAUCUUUUUGUUUGUGAUAUCUAACCUUUUUUCUAUAGCGAGGGAAGGGACCCUGCGUGGUGGGUAGUUUGACUGGGGCGGUCGCCUCCCAAAGAGUAACGGAGGCGCGCAAAGGUACUCUCAGAAUGGUUGGAAAUCAUUCAUCGAGCGCAAACGCAGAAGAGUGCUUGACUGCGAGACAUACAAGUCGAGCAGGGACGAAAGUCGGCGUUAGUGAUCCGGCGGUGCAGAAUGGAAUGGCCGUCGCUUAACGGACAAAAGCUACCCUGGGGAUAACAGGCUGAUCUCGCCCAAGAGUUCACAUCGACGGCGAGGUUUGGCACCUCGAUGUCGGCUCAUCGCAUCCUGGAGGUGAAUUCGCUUCCAAGGGUUGGGCUGUCCGCCCAUUAAAGCGGUACGCGAGCUGGGUUCAAAACGUCGUGAGACAGUUUGGUCCCUAUCUGUUGUGGGCGUUGGAAGUUUGAGGAGAGCUGUCCCUAGUACGAGAGGACCAGGAUGGACGUUCCUACGGUGCACCAGUUGUCACGCCAGUGGCACAGCUGGAUAGCUGAGAACGGAUUAGAUAAACGCUGAAGGCAUCUAAGCGUGAAACUAACUUCAAGAUGAGACUUCCCUCACUAUAAGUGAAUAAGACCCCUCAAAGACGAUGAGGUUGAUAGGUCAGAGAUGUAAGUGCGGUGACGCAUUGAGUUGACUGAUACUAAUAGGUCGAAGGUUUAUUCAC
rnacentral:rRNA from 1 species